rnacentral:misc_RNA from 1 species
GGGAAGACCUCUUUGAUGAACCAAUAUGUGAAUAAGAAGUUUAGUAAUCAAUACAAGGCCACCAUUGGAGCUGAUUUUUUGACUAAGGAGGUGCAAUUUGAAGAUAGACUUUUCACUUUGCAGAUAUGGGAUACAGCAGGCCAGGAACGAUUUCAAAGUCUUGGUGUUGCUUUUUACCGAGGUGCUGAUUGCUGUGUUCUGGUGUAUGAUGUCAAUUCAAUGAAAUCAUUUGACAGCCUUAACAACUGGCGGGAAGAAUUCCUUAUCCAGGCAAGCCCUUCCGAUCCAGAAAAUUUUCCCUUCGUUGUUUUAGGAAAUAAAGUUGAUGUUGAUGGUGGAAACAGUAGAGUUGUUUCAGAGAAAAAGGCACGAGCUUGGUGUGCUUCAAAAGGAAAUAUCCCAUACUUUGAAACUUCUGCCAAAGAAGGCAUUAACGUAGAAGAAGCCUUCCAAUGCAUUGCCAAAAAUGCCCUCAAGAGUGGGGAAGAGGAAGAGAUAUACUUACCCGACACCAUCGAUGUUGCGGGCAACAAUCAGCCAAGAUCAUCUGGAUGCGACUGCUGAGUUAAAUACACUGAAUCACCUCUUAUUCUAUUUCAUUCUCCAGUAAAGCAAACGUCUUUUAUAAAAAGGUCGUACAGACUCAAGCAUUUUAUGCGUUCCUAUUUGUACAUUUUGGAUUUGCAUUCAAACGAGUCCUGUCAUUAUCAAUUCAGUUGUGUUUGGUCUUGCAAGUUGUGUUUACUGUCUUAGGUAUAUUCAUUAUCCGUCUGGUGUUUUGUGUCCCGAGCCUCAUUUGUUGAUGACAAUCAGUUUGUCGCAUAAGUUUAUGUAAUUCUUCUCUUUAGUGAACGUUUUUGUGAUUCUUGUUUAUUUGAUAGGAUUUUGGUUCCUCUGUUCAUGCCUU